ensembl:snRNA U12 U12 minor spliceosomal RNA
AUGCUUUAAACUUAUGAGUAAGGAAAAUAAUGAUGGGGGAGGUGCCCAAAUCUUCACUGGUAAUGUGAGAUGAAUUUUUGAGCAGGUAGUUUUCCCCUAAGGUGACCCACCUACUUCGGGAGAUGACUGGGAGUCAUGAUCAGCCUG